CACUAUUUAACGUAUACCGUGCAUUACACACUAACAUAUGCCAUACGAUGUGUGCACUGUAUAACACUUAGAUGGAAUAAGUUAGAAUGUUAUAGGUAAUCCGCAUUAUGUAUUCUAUGGACUACCUUACUGUCCUCAGUACCUUCUGUAUUCCGUACUAGGGCCGGGCGUCCUGGGAGAGAGGAGGAAGCCCUGCGGGCGGGAGUGGAGGCGCUCGCCGGAGCUGCGUCUCCCUAGUCAGACAGUCUCCCCGCCGGGCAGCAGAGGGCAGGCGUCAGCCGCUUUGGGUCCCCGGAGCCUCGGAGGGCGGGCCCGUGCCACGCUCCUCUCCCCGAAGCCCCCCGGGCUCUAGCCCAGCGCGGGGUUCGCUCUCCAAGGCUGGCCGGAGCUGGGAGGUCCCUCUGAAUAACGGCCUCGGCUUGGCCUUGGGGUCCCGAGUCCCAGGCCGGCCUGGCUUGGGCGGAAGGAUUUCGAGUACAAAGUUGGGCCGGCCUGGCCCGUCGGGGCUUGGCCGGGACCCGAGCCGGCCAGAGCCUCGGAGCUGGGCUGCAGGGCUUUACCCCGGGUGCAUGCUGAUCAGCUGGGCAGGGCUGUGUGGGAAGAAUGGGUCCGGCCUCCAGGUGGCCUCCGCUGGGUCCGGGGGUGCCGGUGCUGGUGUCCGGGUUCUAGACGGGUCUAGUUCGGGAUCGGGCUGGGUCCCUGGUCUCAGGCUGCACCGGCCUGCAGGGACAGAGCUGGGGGCCGGGCCCAGGGCUCAGGCCGGUUACUAGCUGAGGCUGGAUCGGGAGGGCGGGAGUGAGGCUGAGGAGGGCAGAGAGGAAGGCAGGGGCCGAGGGACUGGGUCCUCCCGGGCGGGGGAGGGGCCAGCUCUGGCCCGCUGAGUUGGACUGAGGGAGAGGGGGAGGGGGAGGGAGAGGUACAGGCUCUCCAGCCGCCCUAAGAGGCCCCCCUGCAGGUUCCUUGUGAUGAGCCUUGGAAGAGGCAGAAACUCCGAAGCUACCUCCUUCACUGUCCCAUCCAGCAGUGGGAGGGGAAGCCCAUCCAGCACUUGGGGCCCAUCCAUGCUCUGCUGCCCGUCCAGGUGGCCUACGCAGGCUCCAGGGAGUUCCAGGAUCGCCUUCUGAUUUUGUUUGCUGAGGACCUGGUGUUCCUGUCUCUGAGCUCGGGAGGCUCUGGCCUCAUCUACCAGGGAAAGCUCCCUCGGGCAGGAAUCCGGGCUCAGGAGAAGUCGGCCAUUCUCGGGAGGCUGGAAUUUGAAAUGACAGG